UACAGAGGGUGCAAGCGUUGUUCGGAAUUAUUGGGCGUAAAGCGCGUGUAGGCGGUUUUGCAAGUCGGGUGUGAAAGCCCUCAGCUCAACUGAGGAAGUGCGCCCGAAACUGCAGAUCUUGAGUACGAAAGAGGGUCGCGGAAUUCCCGGUGUAGAGGUGAAAUUCGUAGAUAUCGGGAGGAACACCAGUGGCGAAGGCGGCGACCUGGGUCGAUACUGACGCUGAGGUGCGAAAGCGUGGGGAGCAAACAGG
rnacentral:rRNA from 1 species